rnacentral:rRNA from 1 species
UACCAGCACCCCGAGUGGUCGGGACGAUUAUUGGGCCUAAAGCAUCCGUAGCCGGUUUACAAGUCCUCCGUUAAAUCCAGCUGCUUAACAGAUGGGCUGCGGAGGAUACUAUAAGACUAGGAGGCAGGAGAGGCAAGCGGUACUCAGUGGGUAGGGGUAAAAUCCGUUGAUCCAUUGAAGACCACCAGUGGCGAAGGCGGCUUGCCAAUACGCGCUCGACGGUGAGGAUGAAAGCUGGGGGAGCAAACCGG